rnacentral:lncRNA from 1 species
AAGUGUUCGUUGUCCUGCAAUUCUUCUCUAUUAGACCUUUACUGCAUCACCAUCCAAAUGAUGAGACAAUUAUCCAUUUCGAACUUGUUCCAAGCUAUUCAUCACAUUGUUCAUUAUACUUCUUAGAGUCAAAACUAUCAUUGUGAUGCGACUUCCUACUUAAUUUGGCAACCCUUGGAAGAGAGUUCUUAUUAUUUCCACAAACAAGUCAUGGCUAAUCCUUUUACGAAAGGAGAAAAAAACAA